rnacentral:rRNA from 1 species
ACGAACGCUGGCGGCGUGCCUAAUACAUGCAAGUAGAACGCACAGUUUAUACCGUAGCUUGCUACACCAUAGACUGUGAGUUGCGAACGGGUGAGUAACGCGUAGGUAACCUGCCUGGUAGCGGGGGAUAACUAUUGGAAACGAUAGCUAAUACCGCAUAAUAUUGAUUAUUGCAUGAUAAUUGAUUGAAAGAUGCUAUUGCAUCACUACCAGAUGGACCUGCGUUGUAUUAGCUAGUAGGUGAGGUAACGGCUCGCCUAGGCGACGAUACAUAGCCGACCUGAGAGGGUGAUCGGCCACACUGGGACUGAGACACGGCCCAGACUCCUACGGGAGGCAGCAGUAGGGAAUCUUCGGCAAUGGACGAAAGUCUGACCGAGCAACGCCGCGUGAGUGAAGAAGGUUUUCGGAUCGUAAAGCUCUGUUGUAAGAGAAGAACGGGUGUGAGAGUGGAAAGUUCACACUGUGACGGUAUCUUACCAGAAAGAGACGGCUAACUACGUG